rnacentral:lncRNA from 1 species
UUAGGUUCAUCAAAAAUCAAUUAUUCUAAGUAAACUGACAAGGUCAAACGCUUGUGAAACUGAGUAACCCUGUUUCCUCUUUGUAUGAAUAGCCCACUCACAUUUUUCUUUGAUAAAUCAACCUAGUAUGAUGAUAAGCAUACUAGAGGUAGGCAGCAAUUCUCUAAAAAAUAGAACUAAUAAGAUGAAGGAAAAAAACCCCAAUUUCAACUUUCACCACUACAAUCUCCCCAUCAAACUUCCCAAGGCAAAAAAAAUAAUAAUGCAAAAUUCAAACAUAGUGCAGGAAGAUUAAACUUUCAGCAGAACUCCAAAUUACAGAAAUAAAUAAAAAGGCUAAACUUGUCAAAAAAAUAGAUCUAAGAGGAAGAACGAGAAAAAAUUACUCCAAUUUCAACUCUUUUUUUAAUAACUCUGCUGUCCAGGCUAGCUUGCGUGCACCUCGACAAAUUCCAGGGAUACCUGCCACUUCCCACCAGCAACAAGUACCAAGCAACUCUAUCUACCAAGGCUAGGACAGAUGGAAAGAAAUCACCUAGUGUAAAACUUUAAUUAAAACACAGAAUAUUCAUAAAAAUGAAUGAUCAAAGGCAAAAUCAAGGAGAAAAAAAAAGUAAAUUUACCUCGAUUGUGAUUAUGACUCUACUUGUUUUCCGACGCCGAUCAAUUUUCCGACCACUAGAGCUCUGAAGAAAAAUCGAUGUAAAAACUAAGAGAAGUAACACGAUAAAAAAAGAACACACAGAGAGAGUAAUGUACGAAAAGAAAAGAAUUUUCUUUAGCUAAGAGGAGAAAAUCACUAUAAUUUUUUUUUUGGGUCUUUUUUGCAUAUGGUGUACUCAAUCACAAGUUACAUGUGUGAGUAAGAGUUUAUAUAGGGCCUACUUGUAUUAGAAUUGUUUAAGUGUUCAAUAAAUUUCAUUUUGACACUUGAAUUAUGGUAUAUUUCAACAUCUGAACACAUGAAAUUGUGUUUUUAUUAUAUACUUUUAGUUCAAAUUUUGAAAGAAAAAAAAUUACUUUGUCAGGCAAUAAAUAGGAGGAUAAAUUUUAAAAUGUUCUCUUAUUAUUGAUUAUAAAUGUUCUUAAUUAUUUAUAAGCUUAGUAAACAUCAAAGAAAAUACAUGUGCUUGAGAUUUUUCCUUUAUUUUAACUCUAGUAAAUCAGGCAAUAAGUUCACACUACAAAUGUGAUUUUGAAAUGUGAAUGUAUUUGGUUGUAGAUACAAGUUAGAUUUAAUGAUUUUUUCCACUUUGGAUUUAAGGAAUAUAAUCAUAAUUACCACAAUAAAGCUAGAUUUAAUAAAAUUUUCAACUUUGAAUAAAAGAUAAUAGUAAUAAAUAAGAAGAAGCACAAGAUCAAUUUGGUGGUUGGACGAAUCAAAUAUUGUAAGCUAAAUUUAAUGAAUUUUUCCACUUUGAAUCUAAGAAAGUAGAAAUAAAUAAGAAUAAACAUAAGACAAUUUUGGUGGUUGGACGACUCAAAUAUUGUAAGCUAGAAUUAAUGAAUUUUUCCACUUUGAAUUUAAGGAAAAUACUAAUAAAUAAGAAAGAAAGAAAAGGCAAAUUUGGUGGUUGGACGAAUCAAAUAUUGUAUGUGAUAUUUAAUGAAUUUUUCACUCUCAAUUUAAGGGAAAUACUAAUAAAUAAGAACAACAAGGCAAAUUUAGUGGAUGGACGAAUCAACUAUCUUAAGCUAGAUUUAAUGAAUUUUUCCACUUUGAGUUUUAGAAAUUACUAAUAAAUAAGAAGAAAAAAACAAAUAAAAUUAGUGAUUGGACGAAUCACAGUUAUAUUUGAAUCGGCACAUCUUCCCCUUCACGAAAAACUUAUAUCCCACCACCCGCUUUCUUUCUCAAACUCAUGAUUAGAAGUGUAUUUUCAUAAAGUAUACUUCCAAAUAUUCACAGGGAAAGUCUACCCUUUUCUCUCGUCUUGUAUAGCUCAAGGUGUAAUAUAAUUCGAAAUGCCAUUAAAGAAUCAACCUCGCACGAUCCCAAAGUAAUUACAGUCCAUAAUGGAAAGCCUCUUAACCAUGGCCACUCUAAUAUAGUCAUCAUAGACUUAGCAUAAUUAGACUAUAACCUACCAUAGACCCCUUUGGUAUCCAUAGUUGGAACUGAGUAAUAACAUCAUUAACAAAAUUUCAACUGAAAAUAAGGAGAAUUCACCAAUUUCAUGUACUCAUCAUAAACAGAUUACUAGCACAGAAGAUACUAACACAUCGCCAACUAAGAAUUUAGAUAAAAAUGGAACUCCAAAACAAGCCUAGGGAUGCAUAAUUUUAGCUGCUUCAUUACUCUUCAUUGAAACAAACAAUCAUUUUGGAGUCUCGUUGCGAGUUAACAAGCUUAUAAUUUAGAACCCUUGAAUUCAGAAACCAAAAUAACAUCAGCAGCAACAUUCCCACGAAAAAAAUCUAAUUUUUAACCAACUUCAUGUACCAACAAACAGACAAGAAUUACGAAAUGAAAUGAAUCUCUACAAUGAGUCUAGAUAUGUGUAAUUUUAGGUGCUCUUUUUAUUUGCAUUGAAACAAACAACUAUUUUGAAGCCAAUUGCAAGUUAACAAGCUCAUAAUUGAAAUUGCUCAGAUAAUCAAAGAUCAAAAUAACAUAAUCAGCAAACUGACGAAAAAAACGAUUUAAUAACAACUAUAUGCAUAUAUAUAUAUAUAUAUAUAUAUAGAGAGAGAGAGAGAGAGAGUAUAUACACGGUCACCGAUGUUGCAUUCAUCCUUCUCAUCAUGAGCCAUGAAUUUGGAGGUCCGUUUGACAUAUCGAUUGUAAGCCUUGUUCGACACUGCUGUUCCUACUACCGGCUUCAUCUUACUCCGUCGUCUUCUCCGGCCUAAACCCUAGCAAUCACAGUGCUAAAACCACCGUCUGCGGCUAAAAUCCUAUAACUCUCAACGACGCCGUUAGCUUUGUGACUUCUCUUUGCAUUCUAAUGUAUAUGAACUAUUAUGAUGGCUUUUGCACACACCUAAGUUAUUUUCUUAUACAUUUUGACCCCUUAAAUUUUAUGACUGUAACAUCAACAACAUAUUCAGUGUAAUUUUAUAAAUAGGGUACUAAAAGGAUAGAAUACACACACACUAGGUAGAAAUGUCAUUUUCGAAAUACUCAACUUAAUAACAUCUACAAAAGCAAUUUGGAAAAAAACAUACAAAAGAAAGACAACAUAAUAAAUAAAUAAAUAAAAAGCAUUGGAUAGUAUUCGAAAAACAAGGAAUAGUAACAAUCAUCAACUAAUGUGAUAACUGAAGUACAUGAGAAUGAGAAUUAACAAAAAAAUAUGUUUACUACAUAUGAACAAGGAAACAUGUAUGGUGUACCACAUUACCACCAAACAUAUCUCAAUUGUUUUGUUAGUUAUCAAGUAACUUUAUCCACUAAAGUUUCGAUAAAUAAGUUAUCUCUUACAGAAUCUUGUGCAUAUGGUUAAUUAAUAGCAUGAAACAUUAUAUCAAUUUUAUCAUUUAAUUAUGGUAAAAAUAAAUGUUAUUAAAUGGAUAAAUAUAACUACUCUCCAACCCUUGAACAACAACAAUAUACCCAAUAAAAUUCUACAAGUUGAGUCUGAAGAGGGUGGUGUUUACACAACCUUAACCCUACCUUGUGAAAGUAGAGAGGUUGUUUCGAUAGACCCUCGACUUAAGUAAAGCAUAUUACAAUAAGGUAUGAAAAGAAAAUACAAUAGAUGAGCAUUUCAUAUAUAAUUCAGAACCUGAUAUAACUUUGAACAAAUUCAGCAAAUACAGCCAUAAUCUGACAUGCAUAGAUGCACAUCAGAUAUCCUGUGUUACCAACUAGUCACCAUCUUAAAUACACGGAUUAAAGAAAAGAAACAAAAUACAGCAGAGAAAUGUUUAGUUUUUUCUCACAACUAUAACCCUUUUUUCUGUCUGAAAAGAAAUUGUGCCUGAUAGAUACACAUGGCAGACUCAAAAUCAGUUUUGCCAUUCAAAAUCAGUUGCCUCCAGUUUCCUCUUACCCUGUAGCCGUAGGAUGAGGGGAGCACCUGAAACGUGCCCUUCUGAUAUUAGUCAUGAUUUCUGUCUCAGCCGCCUCAAGCAUCUUGACCACCUGAGAGAAAGUUGGCCGAUUAUCGGGGUCAGAAUCCCAGCAGCAGGUCAUGAUAUCAGAUAAGACAGGCAAGCAAUCAAUGGGGAUUGUUGGACGGACGCCUUUGUUGACAACAGCAAAAGCAGCCUGCACAGCAGUCAUGCUCUGGUAAGGAAGCAACCCUGUUAUGAGCUCCCACAGAACAAUGCCAAAACUAUAAACAUCAACUUUCUGGGUGUAUGGCCGGUGCUGGAUCAUCUCCCUACAAAACAAAGUCAAACGCUUAGCGAUCCACAACGAAACACAGAUGCUAUUGCUAACAACUUUGAACAUCCAUUUUUCUUUUUUCUGAAAAGAGAAGAAACCAGACACACUUGCCAAUAAUUCACAAAGUUAAACGGGAUAGGAUCUGCAGAAUGUGAAUAACUAAUUUCUCAAGAGUAAACUUGAAAAGUAACUUCAUUUCUCAGUUAAUCAGAAUAAAAAUUUGAGCAUACUAGAAUUAUACAAAGAGUCAGACUGGCUGCACGUAUUCGAGUUUUACCAGAUAUUGAGAUUCGAUCCACACCUGUUUUGGCAAGAUCUUUCAUUAUCACAUCAAAUUAACAAAAGCAAGCAUAUUAUUUUUUGUCUAUUUCCCCAAGGAAAGUCAUUCAUGCAUACUAGCCUAUUAUCACACAGAGAAGACUAUAAAAUUACCACCACUCACCAGGUCAACCUCCUAAAUCCUUUCUGAUCGCAACCAUUUCGAAAAUAUUUCAGGCAGACAUGAACACAUAUCUUUGAUCAAGUCUGAAAGAAAUGUCAUAUUAGAAAUCGAAACUUCUCCAGUUAUCACAUUAUCUCAAGAAAACAAAAGCUUAAUCUCCAACUCACUUAGCUUAUAGGGAAUAUGCUUUCCUCUCUAACAUUGUGUAAGGUACAAACCCAAACGGAAACUGAUGGUGAUACUUCUGUCCAGGUCAAAAGAAAUAAAAAAAUGCCAGUUCUAUCAUCAGUAAUCUACACUCAACUGGAUAUAGCAAUCAAUCUCCACCAGAUUGAAAGGGAUUUAUUUAACUCUAUACCAUAUUCUCUAAACCAACCUGAAUUGAUGAUCUAAUUCAAGGUUUAAAUUCUAACUGCCAUAUAUGCCUGAGACACAAAUAACUGAACUUCUAAGAGCACAAUCCUAAGGAAAAUCGUGAUUUGAAAUUUUUUUCUCAAAAGAGUCACUAAAUAUACCAACUCUUAAAUAAGACUCUAAGGGGUCAUUUGGUUGGGAACAAGUUAUCCCAUGAUUAAUUAUCCUGAGAUUAGUUAUCCUGAGAUUACUUAUUCCACCAUGUAUAUGGGAUAACUUAUCCCAUCACUAUGGUAUAAAUAGUGGGAUAAGUUAUCCCAAACAUGGCAACCAAACAAGACACCAAAAUUUAAUCCCAUGUUUUUUUAUCCCAGGACUAUUUAUUUUUAUCCCUCACACCAAACGACCCCUAAAUACAGGAAAACCCCAUGUAUCAGUAGAACAAUAAAGUGAGCAAAAUGAAGUAAUUUUCUUAGUUGUCAUAAUUUUUGCAGCCUCUAGGUCAAAUUGUGCCAACCAAGAAGAUCUUCCAAUAGAUGUCAAUAAAUUUUCAACAGUUUAACAAUCAGGCGCUAAUGCAUGAAUCAAUACAACAGUCAGCCUAUACAUGCACCGUAAUACAUAAAACAAAUAGUAAAAUAUAUUCUUACAUACCUAAUGCAUACUUCUAAAAUUAAUUUGGCGUUUCAUAGUACAUAUUAACAAACUUGGCAAAUCAAGCACAUGUGGACACCCGUGCCACCUAAAUAGAUUUGAUGCUUUCGUUUUUUCUAUCAUUCUUAGAGGUGAUGAGUUUUAGUGGAGAAAUCCAAAAUGUUUCAAAUAUACUUAUUCUUCCACAACUAAAAUAACAUGAAAUCCAUAUUAUAUGGAGUAUAGAUGGGUAAGUUCUACAGAGUAGUGGUUAGACCGACCACGUUUUAUGAGGCGGAGUGUUGGCCUAUUAAGAAAUCUCGAGUUCAGAAGAAGAAAAUCGUUCAGAUGAGGAUAUUGAUGUGGGUGUGUGGGCAUACUAAGAGUGGCAAGAUUAAGAAUGGAGAUAUUCGACACAAGGUAGGAGUGGCCUCCAUGUUGGACAAGAUGAGGGAAGUGAAACUAAGAUGAUUUGGACACGUGAGGAGGAGGAGGAGUAUAGACGCCUCAGUGAGGAGGUGUGAGUUGUUGGCAAGGGAGGACGUCAAGAGAGGUAAAGUCGAGCCGAAGAAGUAUUGGGAGGAAGUGAUUAGACGGAGUGCAUCUAGAUCUUACCGAGGACAUGGCAUUUGAUAGGAGAGUAUAGAGGUCGUGUAUUAGGGUAAAUGGUUAGUUGGUAAUUGAGCAUUCUCUUGCUUCUUUGCGAGAUAGGCUUUCACUGGUAUUCUUAUCAGUAGUAUUAGCACUACUCUUGAAGUUUUUUGUGUGUCGAUUAUUGCAUUAUUUCACUUGUUUGUUAUGUAACACUUGCCAUUUUACAUAAAUGUGUCAUUGUGAUUGCUCCGAAUAUUUGUAUUCCCUUUUGCAAACUGUUUGGCAGUUUUAUUUAAAGUUGAGGGUCUUUCAGAACAAACCUUUUUAUCUCAACAAGUUAAGGGUAACAUUUGCAUACACUCUACUCUCCCCAAACCCCACAUGUGGGAUUGCACCGAGUAUGUUGUUGCUGCUAUUGAACAAGGGCGGACCUAAAGUAUCAUGUGUAGGUUUUGUGGAAUCCAGUCAAUUAAAUAUAUAAAACUAUUUGUUGGGAUCUACUAACAAAGUAAGCUCUUGGUCCAGCGGCAUAAAUGGGAACUUGCUUGAGCUUUAUUGCCCUCCUCAUUGAAGGCUCGAUUCCCCUUGGGCACAUAUAAUAAUUUACUUUUUGAACUUGAUAUCAUUGGGAACCGAUUAACUUUAAAUCCUAAAUCUUCUUGUCUGGACUCGUCCUUGAGUAUGAAUUUUAUCAGAUGUAAGUAUCAUUAUAGGUACGUGCAUUUUUUUGUAAAUUAUUUGUGUAUUUUGAAGAGUACGCGCAACCAUGACACACCCAUUUUAACAUGUAUGUAAUGCAAAGGACCGAUACAACAUAGUAUGUGAGGCACUAAAAGUUAGAUGUCAGAAAUACUAAGUCAUAAUCGGCCUGACGUAGGAUCUCCGUAAUUUAACAAGUUAUACUAAUUGAUUGAUCAUUAUGAGGUUUUCAUGCUCUUUUUGUUUCUAAAAGAUCUACUUCAACUUAUAUAAGGCAUUUGUCAAAUCAGGUCUAGCAACACGUGUUGUAAGACUUAAUACCAAAUAAGGCAUUCUUAUCAUUCUUCUUACUGGGCAUUGAUUUCAUCAUGUGUCACAACAUCUCUCCCACAUUAUUAUUCAAAGCCAUCGCUUAAAGCAAUUUGAAGAAUGGGAUUACUUCUUGAAGCCUUGCACUGCUUUAAACAAUGACGUGCGAAAUGAUCCUAACGAGAAAGGAUCUACUUUUUUGAAUCUCGACUUUGAAGAGCAAGAUCAAUAUCAAUAUUAAGUAAACUAGAUGCAAAAACCAUUUAUUUUAUUUGCAUCUUUAUUGUACUAAAUCCUUUUAUGUUCGGCAUUACUUACUUCUUAUAGCCAUUGUGCUUCACUUCUCGCUAUUUGCUUCAAACUCCAUGGACUUUGUCGCUUUUUGUGUUUCUCGCUUCUAAUAACAGUACUCUCAAUAAUUAGAGGUUUCAACAAAUGUUUCAAGUUCAUGAGAAGAUUACUAAAUUUCUUUGUGGAUAGUACUUCAUUAUACUUUUCCAUAACUUGUAUGCUUCACUCCAAGCUUUUUACUCCAUGGAUCGUUUUUUGCUUUUAAUAUGAGAAGAUUAAGCCAUGUAUUCCACUUCUACCUUUCCAUAGAGAUUGAAAUAGUCUUAUGGACGGAACAAGUCCAUGUAGCAACUCAAUGCAGAAUCCACAUAAUCGUUGUAGAUUAUAGAAACAUCACCUUGUCGCUUUUUAUGCUUUUAAAGAGGCCUCUUCCUAAAGAAUAGUGAAGGUUCCAAUAAAUGAUUUAGAUUCAUUGAAGAUUGAACCAAAUAUUCCACUUCUACCUUUCUGUAGAGAUUGUCUAAUGAUGAAAAAAGUCUAUGUAGUAACUCAGCGGAGAAUCAUAUUAUCGUUGUAGAGUCUAGUUUCUGUAAGGCCCUCCUAGAAUUCCUUCCAAAAACAUCAGAAUAGAUAUGUCAGUUACCCUUUGGGGUGGCCUAGUGGUUUGAGCUUGGGACUUCCAUUUUGGAGGUCUCAAGUUCAAAACCCCUUACCAGCAAAAGCAAGGGGUUUGUCUUCUGGGUCAAGCUCGUCGCACCGAGCUUGCCUUGUGCAGGUUACCUCUCUUCCGAAUUUUGUGAGUUAUUGCAUAGGAGCGGGGGUUUUACCGUGUACACACCCAAUGGAUAGCAGCUGCGGGUUUCCUUUGUCAUAAAAAAAAAUCGAUGUUUUGUUUUGCCAUCCUCCAACAGAGCAAUGACUUCCACCUGCACAACUUAAAAUCUACCUGCAGAUUCCAGAGACACUAGUGUAUGUCCAAUUAAAUUGUCCUAAACAGGCCUCCUUUAACUGAUUCAUUUCAGUGCUUUGAGAAAGUUAACAAGAGCCCUGCAGAUUCCAGAGACACCAGUGUAUGUCCAAAUAACAUGUCCUAAACAAUCCUUCUUUAACUGAUUCAUUUCAGUGCUUUGAGAAAGUUAGCACGAGCCAAGCAAACAGGAAUGCUGUUCAACUACUAACAACUUAAAAACUUUCAUUCGGCAACCAACUUCCACUCUAAACAAGAAAUGUUUCUGGUAGACAUGUCAUUCCCUUGCUCUUUUUAAGUUUCUCCAGCAGCAACAAACAAUGCGACUCUUGUGGAUGUAUGUCAUCCUAUAAAGAGAGAGAUCUCUGGUGAAUCGCACCUCCCCAUUCUCUUUCUUACCCAUACAUUAUUUCCAAAAUAGCCUCACUGCUUUGAAGAAAGAGGUGAUGCUAAAGAUGAUGCUGGAAGGUCGACACUCACAAAGGAGAGAAAGAGAUAAUAUACUUCCCAUAGAACUUUCAUCUACAUAUUCAAUAAGAAUAGAAUUGUGGUUCAUAUCUCUCAGACACAUCCUGAAAGUGAACCCAGUGUGGUAGUUAAUAUCCUAGACCCAUUUUCAGAUAUAUGCAAUUUUACUCUUUCUGAAAAUGGUAUCCAAUCCAACUUGCAUGCAUCUCGAUUUCGGGUAACUAUACCCACAAAGGUUUAAGGUUUAGGCAUAUGGGAAGAGAACACUUGGUGUUUUCUGUCUCUGGGAUGAUUGAACCCUAAUCUCCAAAGGUUUGCUCCUACUUCAUUGACAACUAAGUGACACCCUUGAGUGUGUCUAACUUGAAUCAAGUUACAAGUCAUGGACAAGAAGGAAAAGGAAAAGGAGGGAAAGGAAUUGAAAGAGAAAGUAAAGUCAAUCAACUCUUUAUCCUUCAUUAACAGGUACAGAACUAAAUUAAGAAGUUAACUGGAAGAAACACUAGGUAUACAAUAGAAAAUACAAUCACAAUCAGUGAGGUGGCAUCAAAAGGACAUACAGGACUUGAACCCAUCAACCACCAUGCUCUUCACUUCAGUUCUAAUAAAAUUUAUUCCAUAAAGGGAAUUCAGCAUGCUACAACAACAACAUACCCUGUGAAAUCCCACUCAGUGGGGUCUGGGGUGGGUAGAGAGAAAGCAGACCUUAGCCUGCCCUCGUGGAAGAAGAGAGGUUGUUUCCGUAAGAUGCUUGGCUAAAGAAACACAUAUCAAAGCAAUUUUGAAAAAAAAUUACAGAAAGUAAUGCAGACAGAGAAAAAAUAGCCCACAAGAAUAGGAUAAAAAGCUUAAGAGCUCUAUUAUACAGUUUGGCAAUAAACUCAAACUGGAUCAAGACACCAGAUUUGACAAGGCUGCUAAAGAGUCUAGAUGCUUACGGAGCCAUCCAGCGGUAAGUGCCAGUUUCUGGUGUCAUUCCUUCAGUCAGCACCUCAAUUCGAGCAACACCAAAGUCUGCAAUCUUGAUUGACUUGUCAGCAGCAAUCAGUAGAUUGUCGGAUUUCAGAUCUCGGUGAAUCAGAUUCCGGCCAUGCACAUACUCCAUCCCCCUUGCCACAUCCAAGGCCUGCAUAACUGCUAACCUCAAUGGCACAGCUCGGUUUUGCCGCCUCGUGAGGAACUGACGCACUGAUCCCCCUCUGGCAUAUUCAGUCACAAUACACCACACCAUGGGUUUACGGCAUGCACCAAUAAAUCGUACUACAUUUGGAUGCUUCAAAUUUGCCAACAUUUUGACCUCAUGAUGAAAUUGCAGCUCCAUAAAGUGAGCCUUCUCAAGAUCAUGUUCUGGCCUCUCUAGAAGCUUGAUGGCAACAUCUUCACCAUUAUAAGUUCCCUUAUAGAGUUUCCCAAAAGAUCCUUGAGCAAAUGCUUGUCCAAUGGUAAGCCUCCUCAAGUCAAUUGUCCACUCAUGAUAAAUCGCAAGCCCAAUAGUGGGGAAUUGAGGAUCAACCAAGGCUUGAGCAAGGGCAUCAUCGCUCAACCUAGUAACUCUCCCCCUGACUACGCUAGCAGCAACAGAAUCGUUAUUGUGGAUGUGAUUACCCUGCUGGUUUAGAAUAUGAGUGUGUGAAUCAUUUGAUCCAACACUGCUGUUAUCCACCGACAUUGCACCAGAACCACCAGCAUUGCUCAUUCCAUAACCUUCAAUAGACAUGUUUGACCCCUCACCAAGCUUAUGAUAAAAAUUUUGCGACAGGUUUUGAUUCAAGUCUACAAGUCCAACAAAUUUUGGAGCCUCAAUAUUUUUUCUGAUAAAGCAGCUACAACAGAAAAGCUUCAAUCCAACUUAUUUAUUGUGCAUAAAGAUUUCUAAAAUCAAGCCGCACCUCCACAGCCCUGCAAAACAUAAAAAUGGAAAUGGUUAGGUUCAUCAAAAAUCAAUUCUUCUAUGUAGACUGACAAGGUCAAACGCUUGUGAAAGUGAGUAACCCUGUUUCCUCUUUGAUGACUAACCCACUCAGAUUUUUCUUUGAUAAAUCAACCUAGUAUGAUGAUAAGCAUACUAGAGGUAGGCAGCAAUUAUCUCAAAAUAGAACUAAUAUGAAGAAGGAAAAAAAUUCCAAUUUCAACUUUCACCACUACAAUUUUCUUCCAAUUAUAGGGGGUUUCCUAAGAAGAAAAAAACAACGGCAUUUUUAUCUCCAGAUCAAACUUCCCAAGGCAAAAAAAAAAAAUCCAAAAUUCAAACAUAGUGCAGGAAGAUAAAACU